GCUGGGGACCAAAGGAUCCCUGCUGUCUACUUCCCAUGACUAGCUCCAACACAAGAUCAGAGAGAAGAAGGGUGAAAGCAAGGUGAAUGAAUGGAUAUUCUCAAAGUACAAAACCUGAGACUUAUUUGAUAAGUUGCUUGCCAUCACGGGGAAGGGGGAUGAAGGGAGUAGAAGGUUCCAAAGGGGAAAAUGUAGUGUUUGUGAAGCUAUGAAUAAGCAAGCUAAGGAGAGGACAACCCAUCAGAGAAACUGGGGGGGGGGGGGGGGGGGGCGCGCUAGGGCAGAAAAUACUAGCCUUUAAAGAGAAAUUGAACAUUUUCUUCUCUCAUGCACAUGCAAUGCUUUUAUCAUUUUAAAUUCAAAUUUUUAUUAUCUUCCCACCCUUGACAUUACCUGAAAGGCGAGUGGGUUAAGGAAUCGCUAUGCCCCAUUAAAAGGAUAAAGAGGAGAGAGACCCACCGUGCCCUCCUCGAAGGGAAACAGGGGAGCGAUAGAUAGAAAUAGGCACUGAGUGAUGCUUGCUGCCAUGGAAAUGGUGCUCGUGCUGAGAGUGAGACCCCGGCGAGGAAGAGGAGGAGGAGGAGGAGGAGGAGGAAGAAGCUACAUUAGAGGAACUCCACACAGAGCUGACGAUACAUCCCCAGAAGAGGGACCAGAUUCCAAGCGUCCAAGCCGGCCGGCGAGGAGGGCUGCGUCUCGCGUGGAUUCUCAGAACUGCCAGGCAAAAGGGGGCUGCAGGUGGGAGAGUUUUUCGCGUGUUCCCGAAGUCUCGAUGGAAGGGCGCGGAGGCUGUUAACCCUGCGCGUUCUGGAAGAGCGCCACGGAGCAACCGCCUGCGUCCUGGGUUUCCCAACUGGAUGUAAAGCAGUGGCAGCAGAAGCAGCAGCAGCCGGAGGAAGAGAACAAGAAGGACCGGAGGGAAAGAGGCAAGGAGGGGGAAGCCAGUGCGGAGAAGCCACCCAAACCAACGUGGCCCUGGGCGGAGAGAGGUGGGUGGGCGAGCGCGGAGAACGUAGGAGGAGGUGCCCGGCAGGCGGCAGAGGUGGCCGGGAGGCGGGCGGGCGCCUGCAAAGUGCGCGGAACUGGGAGGCACAGGUGAAGUGAAGCGAGGAGUUGGGGAGCCAAAUUCACAAAUGGGCAAGUCAUAUGCAAAUAGCGCACUCCCGAGAGCAAAUCAGUGCAGCCCGAGCGCUCUGCCGAGGGACUGGCUGGCUCGGGAGGGAGGAGGGGCCCGAGCGACCCGGAAUCCCGGCCCUCCCCAUUCAACUACACGCUCCUUCGUCUACACCCGCUCGAGCCUCCUGCGCACACCGGCGCUGUCCCCGAGCUCCGCUUCCUCCCUUAAGAGUGAGCGUGUGUGAGCGCGUGGAUAAGUGAGACCGACAGACCGACAGAUGGACGCUGCUCCUUUUUUUUUACCACCCUUUCCUUUUUCUCUCCCAGGCGCAUUAAGCCAAAUUCGGAUGAUUAAGGCACCUUUUACAAUUUGGGAAGAAAAAUGCAGGCGGUGGCUAAGGCUGAAGUAGCCCCAGAUAGAAAUAAAAAUAAACCCCUUGAGUCAGCAGGAGCGCUGGAGCGCCUGCACACUGUCGUGCCGCCCGCACGCUCCCCCUGGCCUGACGAUCAGCACAGCGCGGCCACUCUCCCAGGACCCCACCCAGAGGGGGAAAGGCGGGAACCCGCGUCCUGACUCUAUACGGUGAACGGAAGAGGUGGCCUGGGGACCCCGGAGGGUGAGGGGCUUGGCCGCUGGAGGCCCUUCGAGAAGGUAGCUUCGACCCCCGUAGUGGACAGGACACUCUUGGAAAUUCAGGACCCAGAGGUUAGUGCCCACGCCCGCUGUCCUGGGCAAAGAACUUCAGAAGGGGUGAGGGCUGCUUCUGCCGGAGGAAGGCAGUGGCUGACUGUUCCUGACUGGCCUCAGUGCCACUGCCCCAGGUGGGUGAAGCCUCCGGGCCUCCAGGGCGUCGGGCACCAGAGAGCGUGGCUUUUACAUCCAGGCUGAACCUGCAGGGGAGAGCGGGAGUGACAGGAAGAGGCUUGGCGCGCCUGUCCUGGCCAUCUGUGCCUCUAGGAGGGAGCUGACCCAGGGCUCUGCCAGGGAACAGUGACAUUCUGAAGGAUGCAGCCUCCACCCCCGCCUCUCCAUUCCCCCGCGCCCAGCAUGAUGAGUGCUGGAGGCAUAAACCCAAAGGGCAGCACUCCUAAGCCUGGGGGAGGGGGAGGGAGGAGGGAGGUGUCUUGCUAGCUUUUAUUUCUUCCUUCCUACUCACCUUGGUUAAAAGGCUUCGAGAGGAAGCAGAGGGAAUAAUACUUGAUGGUUAAAUCAUAUGUAUACUAUACACCUGCUGAUUAAAUCAUGUAUCUAUCACAGAUAAUCAUAUAUAUGUUAAAGUAUAUAUAUAUGUGUGUAUCUGUAUAUAUUUCAGAUGUCUAUAUAUAUGGAUAUAUCUAUAUGUCUCUUGAUAGAUGAUAGAGUGAUAGAUAGAUACAGUAUUUAGGUGGCAUUUGCUUUUUUAAAAGGAUCUUAUAGCACCUAUUAUACUCCUGAUCUCAAUGAGCAUUUCAAACUCCCUGAGGAAAAAGAAUAGGGAUUAAGGCAGUCCUAUUCAUCGGACACCCCAAGGAGAUGUUGAGAAGUUAGCAUUAUAUGCAUUUCUAACAGAUAAACAUAACAAAUUCAAGGAUGCUUCAGCUUCCAGGUCAAAUAUCAAGUCCAUUUUAGAAUGUAUGUUGGUGAUUGGUAUUCUGGUUCUGAAAUCAGUGUUCUAAAGGUCCAUGUUGUCCCCUGGUAAAUGGUGCACAGUCAUCCCAGCUGCUUGGGCUCUCAGCUGUAAGGCUGAUCUGGGACCCACAAACCUUGUCAAAGGAGGUGGCCAUCUUUCAAGGUUUUUCAUGCCCUUGGGUGAUGAUGGCCCACAGACAUGUCCUAACUAGCAACAUGUAGCUAGGAACACCACAGCAAGUAAGAGGGGUAGUUUAUGGAGACUCAAUUUAAACCUCAGUUUCCUCCUCCAUAAAAUGUAGAUAAUGCCUUCUCUCAAGAGGUUCUUGGGAAUUUUAAAUGGGAUAAUGCAUACACAACAUCCGGCAAUAGCAUUUGACAAGAGUUGCAGCGCUCAGUUCAGUAGAAAAAGUAGCUGAAAUUCCGAGACAGUUAAGCAUGAUGUGGUUAGGGCCUUAUGCUAUUACUAGUAAAGUUAGAAAAAAAGAAAACUAACAAAAAUACCUUCCGACCCUAAGCACCUUCCUUAAAGUAGAUGAUAAUUCCCUUUCAAUCCAACUGGUCAUUAAUUUGGUCCCCCAGAUGGAUUCUCACUCUACUCUGGAUUUAUUCACCUCUGCCAUGGCCUUCAGUGGACCCAGAUGACCUGGCCUAGUUCUCCAGCUCCACCUUCUGCCAGGUGACCCCUCACUCGCAGCUCUCCAGUCUCCCAGACCCUCCUUCUGUUCUUUGUGCCAAAUUCUUUCCCAACCUGAAACCUUCAUAUUUGUUGCCCCUCUUGUAAGGAAGACUUUUUCCCAAGAUUUUUCCGUGGUUGGCUCAUUUCAUGUCACCUCCCAGAGAACCUCUCUGGCCCUCGUCUAAAGUUAGCCACCGCCACCCCUGAGAGGCACUUUAUCCCCUGACCUUGUUCUCUGUUUCCUUCACAGUACUAUCCACUUUCUGAAAUAAUUUUAUCUGUAUUUUGUGUGUGUGUGUGUGUGUGUGUGUGUGUGUGUGUGUAUUCUAGCUCCUUAAGAAAGAUUAACUUCAUUAAAAGGUGAGCCUUUGUCUUGUUUUCUCUAUGUCCUCAGGGUGUGGAAGAGUAGGUUAGCUCAUAGUAGGAACUCAGUAAAUAUUUGCUGGGUGAAUGAAUCCCAUGAAUCAACUGCCACUCUCCUAUUCACACAUUCUGUUUCACUGAUGCAGUAUCUGGCUUGGGUGCCAUUGAUCCCCAGAGACAUGUAUUUUCAAAGUUGACGAGCUGACCACCUACCCACUUAAUGUUUUUUGACUUUUCUAAAUUGGCACUGAGUGUUGGAGAUUCUGUGUCUGACUUUCUUCCGAGGAAGCAUGGGAAUCUUAGAUGGACCUUUCAAUUAGCUCUCUAGGAAACAAAGUGAAAAUAAAUCCUUAAUGCAGUACAAAAUCUGGAAAUGCUGCUGGUAUGUCACAGCUGGAACUAUUCAUUUUACUUGUCAUACUUAUAAUUUAUUUAUUUACUUUUUGCAAAAUGUCAAAAGAAGUAGCUGUGGAUUCUGGUAAUGCCGAUUCCAUUUGGAGACCCAGUUGAAUACUGAGGAGACUUAACUGAGGAUGAAAUCAAGACUGGUUUAUUUUCCUUCUUCUAGUCCAAAGAGAUAACCCAAUUAUCCUGAUAAAAUUCAUGUCCUUCUCCAAUUUAACACACUGUUGAUUUUUUUCAUGUUUUCUAUCCCUCUCUUUGUCUAGUCUACACAUUUCUGAGACUUCCCUUCUAAUGCUCAUGCUUCUCAAGGUUUGCUAGAGUUUACAUUAGCUUGAUCUAUUAAAUAUGUAGUUUUCUUUUUUAGAUUUUUAGCUCCAGUGAUACAUUCUAAACACUGCCGACAGCUAGAGUUCCAGCUGAAGGAUUUAUCACCACCUGUACUACCAUCGAAAGCUCCCCUCUCUCCUGAAUUGUCUUCUCUAGCAGGCUCCUUACAUGAGGACAUGCAGAUGUACAAUGAAGAUCAGUACACUGACACAAAAGAAAAGAAAGGGAUUUAUAAAUGUUAUGCUCACCAUUGAUUUAAAGUUGAAAAGUACAAAUGAUUUCACAGGAACACCCACACUUUGGACAACCCCCCACAGAAUCCUAAAUAGACUUUGGGGAACCUUACAUUUCUGAGUGGAGUGCAGCUUUUUCAAAAAUUAACAAAACAAAACAAAACAAAACAAAACAAACAAACAACAACAACAAAACAGCCUUAGCUGGAUCUGCUUGAUUAAUAGCUGGGUUUCUCUAUUACUCCAGACUUCAGAAUUUGUAACUAUAGACUUCCUCUCCUUGUUCCAAUCUCCCUGCUCCUUUUCACUUCCAGGACAGUCCCAGAACAAGGUGUGCCAACCCUUACCCAGCUCUUCAUCUUGCUUUGGCCUGUACCUCAGCUAUAAAAUAGUCUGGGGAAUCUUUGGCUUCUAAAAUAAGCCUCGUGAUAGUACUUCAUCAUGCCAGGUGCCAAGAACCUAAUGUGAAGUUGCCCUGCUGGUCUCACAAUACAUUUUGUCUCUGCACAUGUCUCUUCUCACUUGUAUAGACUCUGACUUUCCACUUCACUGCCAGCAGGAGACACCUGUCAAGUUGUUUGUCGUGGGCAUACCUUAUAUGACUCUACAGACACAGAGAAUUACCAGAGCAGUCUAUUUGUGCAUGAGCCUGAAACUCUUAGGGAGGGCCCUCUUUUCCCAAAUAUGAAGAAUAGAAUUCCUUAAGUUCUCUCUCUACACAAAAGGUGAGUUUAGGAGGAGGGGAAAAAAACAAAAACAAAAACAACUAAACUCUCAUAAUGUGAAAUGAAAUAAAAGUCCUGAAAAAAUACAGGUGGCUGUUAACAUGCCUAUAAAUAUAAACAAGGGUUCCAGUGACAACUGUAAAACAGUAUAAGUCUGCUUUAUUAUGUCAGUAGAUUUAUUUAUAGCCAUAUAAUUCAUCCCUCUGCUCAUUUAUUUGAGAAAGUGAUCCUGCAAAAAUGCAGAUUUUGAUUAUAUUUCCCAUUUACGGGUAUAAAAUAGCAGCUUUAUUCUUCUAAGCAUCACUUGUAUAUGUAUUUGAUUUAAAAAUACAUUUUAAAAUUAUGCAUCCUUGCAUAAUUUUAUAGUUUAGAGAAUGUAUUUAUUACUUCUCUUCCUUUUAACUUAGCCUUCUUGUAAACAUCCACACUUAUUCUCUUGUCCUCCUUGUGGCUGAAAUGGGGAUAUCAGGAGUUUAGACAUUAAAAAUUUUUUCUCUAGGAAAUUUUCCAAAUUUCUUGAGUUUGGUCAAUACUGCUGGGAUAUCUACUUCAUUAGAAUUUCACACAUUUCUUCAAGGAGAAGAAAAAUAGGAAAUUCUCCUAUGUAGCAUCUCCCUUCAAAGUCCAAGUGAAAUUAUUUCAUCAUGGAAGCAAAUUUUCCUUUUACUCCAGGACAGAAUUCAAUUAGUUGCUCAUAGAGAUUUGGGCAUUUAAAACCUUAUUAGUCUUCACUAAGCUUACAGUGGAUAUCAGAGAUAUAAAUUUCAUAUCCUCAGCAUCAUGUAAAUCUUUAUCCAGUGUUAAGGACUCAAACAAAAUGAAUUAUUGUUAUACAAUAACAGAAUUAGUAAGAUAAUUUGUAUGUUUAUACAAUAACUGCCAAGUUAAAGAUUUACAGGGCACGCUGAGAGUGCACACAGCUUUAGAUUUGGGCCCCUGGUGCUCAAGACUUCCUAGGUUCAAAUCCUGAUUCUGCUUUUUAGCUGCCGUGAAAAUGUUGACAGGAUCUUUACCCUCUUUGUAUCUCAGCUUUUCCAUCUGUACAAUAGGAAUAAUCAUACUAUCUAUUUAAAAUGAUUGCUGUGAGAAUUCAGAAAUAUAUGUAAAAUGUGUAUAAACAGUGCCUGGCACAUAAACCAAUAAUCAAUAAAUGUGAACAAAAUUAUCUCUUUCUCCAAAUGACUCCUUGAAAAUCAUCCCUGCAGAUAGUUUUCUUCCUGAUGCAAAUCUCAGGAAGACUGGAUAAACAAAAAGGCUCCCGUAUAAUUCCAAAAUGUCGGAAGUCCCUCCUGUGUGUUGCCUGACUCAUUGGAUUCUCUUCGCCUAUAUUUCACAGAAUGAAGAGUAGCUUAAUCAUGUCUUUUCUCACAAAUAUCCUUCGAGCCAACUCCGAAAUAAUAAAGCUCACCAGGGUCUCAGAGCCAGAUAAUAUGAGCUACGGACACCCAGCAUUGUUGUAAAAGGGAUAAUUUUCUAGAAUAGGGUGGAAUGCAUAAAAUCUCAGUCUGCUUGGGGGUCUUGAAGGUCUCUCUGGUUACUUCUCUCUCCCAUUUCUUUUCCUACUUUUUUCCUCUCUAAUAAAUAGUACAUUUUAAUUAUUUAGCCUCCCUCCCCCCAAAAAAGACAUCCCCUCUAAAUCUUAUAAUAAUUUCCAUUGGACUUAUUUGGUAUUCUUAUUCAGUAAAUGUUUUCUUUCAAAUUACUGUGAAUGUAUCUCUGAACUAGGUUCUACUCACUAUAGAAGGAAACAAUUAUAUGGUGCAUCAAUUCAUCUAUUUCACAAACAUUAAAUUUAUGCUAAGUAUGGCUUAGGCAUCAGGUAAAGUCCUGGGGACUCAGAGAAGAUUUAAGGCCCUAAGAAGUGUAUAACUUAGCAGAAAUAUUUUAUAUAUAUAUAUAUUUA